GACGAACGCUGGCGGCGUGCCUAAUACAUGCAAGUAGAACGCACGGUUUAUACCGUAGCUUGCUACACCAUAGACUGUGAGUUGCGAACGGGUGAGUAACGCGUAGGUAACCUGCCUGGUAGCGGGGGAUAACUAUUGGAAACGAUAGCUAAUACCGCAUAAUAUUAAUUAUUGCAUGAUAAUUAAUUGAAAGGUGCAAUUGCACCACUACCAGAUGGACCUGCGUUGUAUUAGCUAGUAGGUGAGGUAACGGCUCACCUAGGCGACGAUACAUAGCCGACCUGAGAGGGUGAUCGGCCACACUGGGACUGGGACACGGCCCAGACUCCUACGGGAGGCAGCAGUAGGGAAUCUUCGGCAAUGGACGAAAGUCUGACCGAGCAACGCCGCGUGAGUGAAGAAGGUUUUCGGAUCGUAAAGCUCUGUUGUAAGAGAAGAACGGGUGUGAGAGUGGAAAGUUCACACUGUGACGGUAUCUUACCAGAAAGGGACGGCUAACUACGUG
rnacentral:rRNA from 1 species